CCGUUUGGGUGAGGAAUCCUGUUACCCUUCCAAGGAGCAGGCACAACUCCUUGAGUUGUCCCCGCCCGAGAGAAUCCCCGUCGCCGUCCCUGCCCCCCGCCCUGCAUUUUAUUUCCUGCGCUGUUUGGACACAAAGCCUCUGUCCACACUAGCGAUGCCCCAUCUCCUGGACCUUCUUUGCGGAAUUACACCCGGAUCUUAAAAACGCACGCGCCCUGAGCCUGGAGCGGGCACGGAGGCCGCCCCUGAGGCCGGAGGUGGGACAGCUCUAGGCGCCGCCUGGCGCUGGCUCCUCAGGUGGGGUGAGACAAAUCUGGGCCGAGGUCCAGGCUGUCGUGCACCCUGUCACCCAUGGAAGUUCGCAAAGGAGUUAGCAAGAUUGUCUUAGCCCCAGAGAGAUGAAGGCUUAUUGUAAAGCAUGCCCCUCCCAUCACCUCCAGUACCCAGCAAAGGUAAAGAAUCCCCCCACCCCCAGCCCUGUGUCACUCUCCAAGAGAGAUGGCCUUGAGUGACAGCCGAAUUUGAGUUCUGGCUGACAAAUGCCUUUUUCAUGUCUUCAAAGGCCACAUAUACACAUCCCCCAAAUGGGUAUAAUAUCAACUCCCAGGUGAUCAAAUAGGUAAAACACCUAACUGUCCCUACACACAACAAGGGCCCUACAAAUUUGGGUCAGAAGUCUGGGGUUCCCCAGAGUUUAGAACUUGUUUUUUUUCUUAAGAGCCUCCAUUUCUCACCUGUAAAAUGAGGUUAAUCAGAAUAUUUCCAUCACAGGUACUUGUGAAGACCAAGUAAGCUAUAAAUAUAUGUAAGAACACUGUUAACUAUAGUUAAGAUAGUAAAUAAGGGUUGUUUUGUCAGGAGUUCCCGCUGUGGCGCAGCAGAAAGGAAUCCGACUAGUAAUCCAUGAGGAUGCGGUUCAGUUCCCGGCCUGGCUCAGUGGGUUAAGGAUCCAGUGUUGCCGUGAGCUGUGGUGUAGGUCGCAGACGCGGCUUGGAUCUUGGGUCACUGUGGCUGUGGUGUAGGCCAGCAGUUACAGCUCCGAUUAGAACCCUAGCCUGGGAACUUCCAUUUGCCGCAAAAAGAGUUGUUGGUCAUUGGGAGGGCUGGGAGAUCAUUAAAAAGGGAUUUACUCCACUGUGAAAGUGUGAGUAAGCGCCAGGGGUAUAGUGGGAAGGGCACCAGGGUCCAAGGAAUUGCCGUGUUAGGGCUUGAUUAGGAGUCCGUCCUGGCCCUGGGCUCCCGUGGUCCCAGUGGCCUUUCUGCCUCCUUAUUGUGCGAGAUGGGGCAAGAAUCACUCACAGUUCUGGAUUUUAUAGGGAAGAGUUCCACACAGCCUUUCCUGCUGGCACUUUAGGCAACAUAUCCGAAGGGAAUAAGUGGGGACAGAAAAGCAAGACUAUUCUUUUGCCUUGAACAGGUUUAUCAACUCAUCAUUCAGGAAUAUGAAGUCUGUCAGGCCCUUUUCAAGGCUGCCUAUAUUAUAUUUUAAAAGUUUUCCCACCUGGGAGUUCCUAUCAUGGUACAGUAGAAACGAGUCCGACUAGGAACCAUGAGGUUGUGGGUUCGAUCCCUGGCCUCGCUCAGUGGGUUAAGGAUCUGGCGUUGCCGUGAGCUGUGGUGUAGAUCGCAGAUGCGGCUUGGAUCUGGCGUUGCUGUGGCUGUGGUGUAGGCCGGCAGCUGUAGCUCCGAUUUGACCCCUAGCCUGGGAACCUCCAUAUGCCGUGGGUGUGGUCCUAAAAAGAAAAAAAAAUAAUAAUAAAAGUUUUCCCACCUGUAUGAAUAAAAUGCUUGGAAGUAUUUCUUUUGAAAGUAUUCAUUCACCGACAAGUGAAAUAGGAAGAAAGAAAGUGGAUGGUGGUGGUGAUUAACUGUGUAGACGGGAAUUUUUCAUCUUCUGGAGGCCAACCACCGGAGUUGUCUUAGACGGAAACCGCCCCUCCAGUGUGUCUCAGGCCGGAUUUGUCAAACUGCUGUUUGCCUCUCGGUAAAGGAACUCAGCCGUGAAGUCAAUGUCCUACCUCUGUUCUUUUCCUUUUCCCAGGAAAAUCUGUUAAGCAUUAGAGGAAGUUUGAAAUGAACGGAAUUCCUGUAAUCUGAAGAAUUUGUUAACCAUAAGAAUAUUUACGUAGCUUCUCAAUUUGCAGAAAUUUUUUAUGUCAUUCAUUAUUCAACAAACAUUUACUGGGGGCUCACUCUGCACCAAGCCAGGGCUACCGAGAAUGGGGCCAUUCUGUUCAUCUAAGAGGCAGUGUGGUAUGAUGGUGAGGGGCACAGGCUCUGGGGUCCGGCUACUUGAGUUUGCCCUCCGAGUCCCCAAAUCUUACUUGGUGCCUUGUGGGGGGUUAUUUAACCCUUCUGUGUCCUGAUUUCCACAUCUGUAAAACAGGCAUGAUAUUAGCACCCCCUCCCCAGCAGACUUGUUUGAGAACAGUGUCUAAAGUGGGGGCGAUGACAUUAGUGACUCUGCCAGAGGUCUCCCCAUAGCAGUCCCUCUGGAUCUAUUUAAAAUAUAAUCCAGGCCAUGUUCUCACCAGCGCCCCCCCCCCCUCCUAAACUGACUUCUCAUCCCUUUUGCAACAUAACCUAAGCUCUCCUGGCUGCAAGCGCCCACCUGAUCUAUCUCCUGCCGCCUCUCUGACCUCCUCCUGCAUCAUUCUUCCCCUUUGCUUCCUAUGUUCCUGCCCCGCUGGCCUUUCUGAUCUUCACACAAGCCGUGCUCAUUCCUGCCUUAGGGCCUCUACAUUGGCUGUUCCCUCUGCCUAAGACUCUCUUCCCUCACAUCUGUACAUGGCUAGCUCCUCUAUGCCGUGAGGCCUGGAAGAAACCUCCUCCUCUUUCAUUCUUACCAGAGCCUUCAUGAAUACGUGAUAGUCCAUUGUUUAUCUUCAGCCUCCCCCCUUAGCCUGUAAUUUUCAGGAGAGUUUGUCUUAUUUGUCACCGUGUCGCAGCACUUGGAACAGUGUCAGUCAUGUAAUAGGUGCUCCAUCCAUGUUCGUAAGACUGAAGGAAUGACAGUCUAGUGUAGAAGGCAGAUGUUACAUGUCAAGUGUGACAGCUUCGAAGACGCUACCACUUAAGUGCAAUUUACCAUGUAUCAGACUCUGCAUGUAUGAUCUCAUUGCAUCUUGGUAAUCAGUCUCCCAGGCUCCUCUCUGUCAUGACCCCCACUUUACAGAAGAGAAAACUGGAGCCCAGCAAGGUUAACUGACUUUCCCACAGCUAAUUAAUGAUAGGGGAACUUGAACUGUAGCCUGGACGGAAUAUCCAGAAUCCCAGGAGUGACAGCAGGGGACCCAAAUCAGACUGUGGAUUCAAGGGCUACUUCUUAUUGAGCCUCACAAACAUUCUGGAAGGUGGGUAUUCUUAUCCCCACUUAUAGGUGAGGAAACCGAGGCGAAUGAGUUUUAAGGGACUUACCCAGAAGUAGGCCACUGAGAAAUGACAGAGCCAGGACCAGAGCCCAAGCCCAGAGGGCUGGCCCUUCCCCCAUGCAGAGUGUCUUCCAGGCAGGCUUAGGCCAGGAGCGCCAGAGGCUUAGGAACAAGGACUUCUUUUUGUCUGCCCCCCCUCUUUCUAAACUGCCCUAAUUCGGGCCUCUCUCCAUGGACAGCCCGUGAGGUCAGGACCUGGGAUAAAAUGCUGCCAGUGGAUGGGGCUCCCCUGCUUGGCUUUACAGGUGUGACGGGGAGGGGGCUGAGAGCUCACAGACAUCUGCCAGCUCCGAAGGUACCAAGGGCUCAGUCAGGCUUGAGGAGUGGGGUGUUGGCAGCCACUGACAUGCCAGACGGACCGAGGGGCACGUGCUCCUGGGCAUGGCAGCACCAGCUGCUUCUCCUCCUUGCCUAGGCCCUCUAGAAACAAAGCGCACUUCCCCCCCCCCCCCCUUAGUGCCCUGCCCACCGUCAGCACCAUGUUUGCCUUACAAUUUUGUAUAGUUUAAUCCCUCCUCAAUGCCAAAACAAAGAUAGCAGUUGUCGUAGUAUUAAAGAAAAAUGUUUUAUUUAUAGAAGGACUACGUGUGCCUAUGCUUGUGUGUCUCUCUCUCUCUAUAUAUAUUUUUUCCCUUUUGUUCUAAGCAUGUCUCUAUUCUUAACUAUGUGACUAACAACCUCGUUAUUUUGGGGAAAGAAAACAUAACUCGUUUGAAUGAGAUUGCAUCAUGUUUACAUGGUAAAAGGGGAAAGAAGGCACUUUCUUGUCCAAUUUAAACCCUCAGUUUCCUCUUCUGUCAAAUGGGGAUAAUCAUACCUAUAUCCCAAUAUUACUGUGAGGAUUAAAUGAGGAGGAACGGAGACUGCGAAGCUUUCCACGGGGGCUGUGUGUUCUUCAUUUAGAGAGAUUAUCUUGGGGAAAAAUUUAUGUCCUCUGUAUAUUCAUGGAGUGGUAAUCCCAACGAGAGUGCAAUUUUGCUGCUAUGAGUUCAGAUAGAAGGGAGGAAGCUGGGCCUCUGCCAAAGGAGAGGCAGCCUGCAGAUUGUCUCCUGGGAUCUUUAGAUCCACCCUGUGGAUAUUAUUAUUUUCUGGGACUUACAGAGGAAGGAGCUGAGGCUCAGGGUGAAGACAUGACACCUGUCUUGACAUCCUGGCUUUGGCCCUUGCUUCCUGUGUGACCACAAACCAGUUGCUUAACCCCUCUGAGCCUCAGUUUCCUCUUUGGUAAAUGGACGGCUGUUUGAAACCAAAAGCAGGUUGUCGGUAUGGUCAGCCGAGCUCUUCCCAUCCUGCGUAGAAAUACGUUGGGUGGCAUGAGAUGGCUUGUAGCUCUUAGCGCCAUCCAACGUCUGUGCAGUCAGCCUGGGAUUAAGCCGCACCAACUUCAAACGGGCUCAUCCCCAAUAGUGUGACGGCAGGAAGGCCACGCAGUGAGAGUGAGGCCCUUGGCAAUGGCCUUUUGACACAGAUAACUGCGUCCUGGGAGAACAAUGUGUGUGCUCUCAGCUCCCCUGCCACUCACCCCCACCCGAGCACCAGGCAGUCAAGCAGCAUCCCCGCAGGUCUAAGAACAGUAGGUGCACAGAUUGUGCUCAAAACGAUAUUUGUGCGGUUGAAUUACCUUAAUGACCGAAUACCAUUUGGGGAUAAACUGGAUAUUCUCGUCUUCACCACAGAAAACAGAAAGAUGCUCCCUUUCCUCUUUGCAGAUGACACUGUUAUAUUGUUUCAAGCCGGGCAAGCUUUGAUAAGAAACUCUGCUCCAACUUAGUAACAGCAAGCAGGGCCGCAGAUGGCGGGAUCUGAAAUCAGAGUUCUCCCUGGGGAUUUUCAACUCAAAGAGGCAGGCAUCUAUAGCAAAGAGUAGGCUGCUCAGGGUAGGUACGGAGUGGGCCGCUUCACUGCAACCCAUGCCAUCCUGAAAAUUGGAGUUAGUUUUAGUAACGACAUUAAGAUUUUGUAAUGUAAUGCCCAUCCUCAAAUAUGUGGGUCAUCCGAGUUGCACCCAGGUUCUAGUUUUCAAAUUGUGGGUCCCAGAACCAGCAGCAUAAGCAUCACUUGGGAACUCUUUUGACACGCACCUUCUCAGCCCUACCCCCAUGAGAAACUCCAGGGCUGGGGCCCAGCGAUUGUUUUAAUAAGCCUGCAGGUGACUGUGAUGCUGCUAAAGCUCCAGAAUCACCGCUUUCCUCUCCCUCGUGAAGCCUUGCCUUGGCAGUUCUGCUGUGAUCACAGGCCAGGCCUGUGAUCUGGCUUGGCUCUAACCACCCUAUUGGAAAUUCGAUACAUUCUGGCAUCAGGCCUCUGGUUGCCAGGGAGUUACAUUGUUCAAAGCCUCGGGUUCUCUGACCCCUACUAUAGUUUUUGCUUUUUUCUUGAAACCUCCGAAGUGGGUGUUUGGUUACACAUGCUUAAAAUAUUUUCCAAGUUGAAGGCCUGAUGGCCACGCCCUGUGGUGCAGGACUCUGGGUCUUCAAGUGCCCAUUUGUUUUUGUAAAAGACUAGACCCCAUGGAGUUCCCGUGGUGGUGCAGUGGAACCGAAUCCGACUAGGAACCAUGAAGUUGCGGGUUCGAUCCCUGGCCUCGCUCAGUGGGUUAAGGAGCUGGCGUUGCUGUGGGCUGUGGUGUAGGUCACAGAUGCGGCUCGGAUCUCACGUUGCUAUGGCUGUGGUGUAGGCCGGCAGCUGUAGCUCUGAUUCGACCCCUAGCCUGGGAACCUCCAUAUGCUGUGGGUGUGGCCCUAAAAAGACAAAAAAAAAAAAAAAAAAAAAAAAAG
rnacentral:lncRNA from 1 species